rnacentral:rRNA from 1 species
UACGUAGGGACCUAGCGUUGUCCGGAAUCAUUGGGCGUAAAGCGCGCGUAGGCGGCCCGGUAAGUCCGUUGUAAAAGUCGAAGGCUCAACCUUCGAAAGCCGAUGGAUACUGCCGGGCUAGAGUCCGGAAGAGGCGAGUAGAAUUCCUGGUGUAGCGGUGAAAUGCGUAGAGAUCAGGAGGAACACCCGUGGCGAAGGCGGCCCUCUGGCUCGACCCUGACGCUGAGAGGCGAAAGCGUGGGGAGCGAACGGG